rnacentral:rRNA from 1 species
CAGGAUGAACGCUGGCGGCGUGCUUAACACAUGCAAGUCGAACGAACCUUCGGGUAGUGGCGGACGGGUGAGUAACGCGUGGGAACCUGCCCUCAGGAGGGGGAUAACGGCUGGAAACGGCCGCUAAUACCCCAUAUGCCGAGAGGUGAAAUGAGAUUCGCCUGAGGAUGGGCCCGCGUCUGAUUAGCUAGUUGGUGGGGUAAAGGCCUACCAAGGCGACGAUCAGUAGCUGGUCUGAGAGGAUGAUCAGCCACACUGGGACUGAGACACGGCCCAGACUCCUACGGGAGGCAGCAGUGGGGAAUUUUCCGCAAUGGGCGAAAGCCUGACGGAAGCAACGCCGCGUGAGGGAUGAAGGCCUCUGGGCUGUAAACCUCUUUUCUCAAGGAAGAAGACCUGACGGUACUUGAGGAAUAAGCCACGGCUAAUUCCGUGCCAGCAGCUGC